GAUGAACGCUAGCUACAGGCUUAACACAUGCAAGUCGAGCGACUGGCGCACGGGUGAGUAACACGUAUCCCACCUGCCUUGUACUCGGGGAUAGCCUUACGAAAGAAAGACUAAUACCCGAUGAAAAGGAUGGGGAUGCGUUCCAUUAGGUUGUUGGUGAGGUAACGGCCCACCAAGCCUUCGAUGGAUAGGGGUUCUGAGAGGAAGGUCCCCCACAUUGGAACUGAGACACGGUCCAAACUCCUACGGGAGGCAGCAGUGAGGAAUAUUGUUCAAUGGGCGUUAGCGUGAACCAGCCAAGUAGCGUGAAGGAUGAAGGCUUAUGGGUCGUAAACUUCUUUUAUAUAAGAAUAGGUAUUAUAUGAAUAAGGAUCGGCUAACUCCGUGCCAGCCGCCGCGGUAAUUC
rnacentral:rRNA from 1 species